rnacentral:rRNA from 1 species
CAGCCGCCACGGGAAUACGAGGGGGGCAAGCGUUGUUCGGAAUUAUUGGGCGUAAAGGGUGCGUAGGCGGUUUGAUAAGUCUUGUGUGAAAUCUCUGGGCUCAACCCAGAGUCUGCACAGGAAACUGUCGGGCUUGAGAGUGGGAGAGGUGAGUGGAAUUUCCGGUGUAGCGGUGAAAUGCGUAGAUAUCGGAAGGAACACCUGUGGCGAAAGCGGCUCACUGGACCAUUUCUGACGCUGAUGCACGAAAGCUAGGGGAGCAAACAGGAUUAGAGACCCGUGUAGUCCCUGUCUCUUAUAC